CCGUAAGGGCGCCCGCGCGGCGUGGCUCCCGACGCGGAGGCGCGGUUGUUGCUCUGGGAGUUCGGCCUGGGCGCCGGGAGAGCCCCGGCCCUGGGACCCAGCCGUGGUCGGCGGUCACUGCAGCGCUCGCAUCGCCUCCAGCCCCCAGUGCGUGCACCCAUGGGUGGCUUCGUGCCAGCGCCCGAGAGUUGAUCGGGGGAAGUCUCGUGGUCAGCGGAGUGGAAGCUUACGCUCGGAUGGCGCGAUGCAUCACAAAAUGCUGUUUGAUCGAUUGGGGAAGGUGGUUUCAUCACCACGGGCGGAUUUUCAGGAGUGAAAGAUCGUGAUGUUCUGGUGUGAGGGGAUCCCACAGAGCAGAUGCUGGGCUUGGACAAAUGGAGCUUUGCGGAGAUGCAGUUUCCCAGCGCCGAGGCUAAUUAAAUGCUGGCCCAGGAGGACGCAGAGGUCACCUUUCUUCAGAGGCUGCAAGGCAGGAUGGGCUGGAUCAAAGCUCAUUUGGAAAACACCGGGAAAUUAACUGGCUGAAGUACAGGGCAGGUUUGGGUUGAGGGGGUCUCUUUUGUGGUGAUAACUGCACAUCUGUGAUGCUGAUGGGCAGCACCAUUCUGUGUCCUGCAUAGCACUCAGAGAUGCCAACCCAGGGCAUUUCACCCCAAAAUUUCCAUGGAGUAGGUAUGAAACAAGGAAAAUAAGAAAGCCUCCCCCCAGCUGGACCAGCAUGGUUUGGUGCUGCUUUCUGCCCCCAGCACAUGGAUUUCAUGGUGGUGUCUGCUGGAAAUGCCCCAUCCCAGCCCAUCCCCAGUGUAGUGGGGUCUCCGUCUCCGAAGAUGAAAAUGCCACCAUCCAACCCCAGUCGGCAGCACCUGGGUGAGGUCCAGCAGCAGCGAGCUGCAGGAGGUGGGACAAGGAAAUCGAGUGGCUUCCUCAGCACUGCACAGCGGGCAGAGUGGAGGAACUGAUUCAGAACUCCUUGCACCAUUGUAAAGCUUUCUGUGUUACAGCCGAGUUUGGGCUGGGUUAUCAAAUAUUAGGAGCAGGCGCUGAUGCAGGUCUAUCCUACUCCUGAUUUAAAGACGGCUGAAUUGCUAAAUAUUUUUAUUAGCAGCAAAUUUGCGGCUUGCUGGAACUAAUUUCACGCCCAGUAGAUAUGGAGCUUAAGCUGGGGAUGGCGUUAAAUUGCUCUCUGGUACGGGUGUGUAAGCCCUUUGGGGGAUGCUGCUGGAUGGGAGCAGGUGCCAGGGUCCCUUUGGGGGCAUUGUUUUGGGAUGGCAUCUCUGGGGCUCACCCACACGGUGGGAAAUGUGUCUGUAAUACGCAAAAAUCUCAGAGGCGUGGCUGUGCUUUUGGAGGGGCUAAGCUUGCUGCAAGCUGGGGUGCACCACCGAGGGAGCAGGGAGCAAGGCUGGGAAGAUGCUCUGCGUGUUUUAGGGAUGUAUUUGGCAUAUUUGUGAUAUUUGGGGCAUUCCAAGCGACAGCAUCCUGUGGUUCUUCGCCACAUCUGGAAAAGGCUUUUCCAUUGUGUUGCUGCUGGAAGGGUUGAUGUGGGAUUGAUGUGGAGAUGCUCUGCUUGUUGCACAGGUGGGGAAGGUGGGCUCUGGGUGUGCUGCCGGCAUUGGGCUGGGUGCAGCUGGGACAGGUGCAGGGUGACGGGGCACACGGCGCUGUGGGGUCUGGUUACAGCUAUAAAUACCCAUGGCCGUGAGCGAGAGCUGUUCAAUCCCUGCCCCGGCAUUUCCCCAACGUCACGCACAGAUCGGCCAGGGGAUGAGUUGCCCUUUUCCAAAGAGAAUCACUAAUGAAAGAAAGUUAAAAUAAUAUAGGAGAGUUCAUAAUGGCUCCGGUGGGGAUACAGCUCUCUCUCGCAGGAACCCAUUUCGUAUUAUCUUUCUCCUGCUCAUGGCGGAAAUCAAUUUUAAUAGCGGUGACAGGAAAUGAGGAUGUAAGACUUCAAAUAGAACAAAUCCUGCAACGCUCAGAAAUAAUAAAAUGGGAUAUGAAGUCACGUUUUAAAUAAAAAACUUGAUCUUGUCAGGAGAAAAUGCACCUGAAAGCACCCGAACAUGCUGGGUUUGGGGGACAGAAAGUGGUUCUCACCAUUGGGUGAAAUUUCCCCCAUGAUCAAAACCCCUGGGCAACUGCACACAAUCUGAACUUGGACUCAUACUGCUUUCUGAGAUCUCUUUUUUGCAGUUAGACGUCAUCCGAAGGUAAGGGGGGAGAAAAGAAAUCCUGGAGUCGGGCGGCGUUUCAGUGCCAAUAUCGGGCAGUGCCUGUGCAAACCCCAGUCUCCGUGCAUCUGGAAGACACCAUAUGGUUGCAAUUGAACUGCUUAUUAACUGUUGUUGUUUUGUUUAUUCAUUGUCACUGUUCUUUUAUCAAUUAUCAUUGAUUUGAUUAUCAAUCCCUGUUAUUCUGUUUCUGUAGUAGCCUGCUGACAUUUUUUAACCCAGGGAUAUCUUGAGGGUUUCCUCUAUGAGGAAAAGGGUCUGGGGAGCCUCCCAAACCAGGAUGAGCUUCUGCAGACACGACCUUCCCGACAGCCCUAAAGCAUAUCGCGAGAUGGUCGUGUUGCCUUUUCCCAUUGAACAAAGAAUAGGAACCUGGUCACUCCUUCCAUCAUUGCUCCAGGACCUUAUCCAGCAAUGAGUGCGAUAUGCAGAGCCAUUGCCAAUGGAACUCCCAACACUUAACUUUAAGUGGCUCAUCAUCAUUACUUCUUUUGGUAUUCCUCAUAAUGGCGUUAAUCACGGGCCACUCAUUAGAUUUUAAUGUGGCUGUAAUAUGUUCAUCCAUUGUCAUUCAAGUGCAAUUUGGCAUGGGGUGACGUCUGCUCACUGGAAGGGCUGAGCGGUGUCACUGGGGUUCGAUGGCAACACCUUGCAUUCACCUGUUUUGUCAGCCAACAACUAGGCACUUUUUAGUCUUCAGAAAUUAAAUUUUUGGGUUUUCGGUGCCUUUGGGUUUGUAUCAGAGCACACUGGGAUGUCCGAGCUGACAGCUCACAGCUUUGUCCUAUCCUGCAUGGGCAACUCAGGGAUGGGGUCACACCUCUUGGGGACAUCCCAGGGCAUUUCUGCUCCUCUCCAAUCUGAUUUUUAUUGCUGAUGGAUGGGGAAAAAAACAAGGAAAAGAAAAAUAAUGAAAAAGAGAAAAAGAGAAGGGAAGCAAGUCCUUUCUGCCAUACUGGGACUCCAUGACCCUUCCAAAACCCCAUGUUGGUAUCCCCGUGUUCUCCAAGCACAUCCUUUUAUGUCAACCUCCAGAUCCGCUGGGAUCUGGAGGAAACACUUCAGUUUUCUCAGGUCCAUCUGUGAGUCUCUGGGCUGGCUCCAGCAGGUGCAUUAUGAAGUGUUUGGGUGGUAGCUGGGAUGCUUUUGGGGAACCUGGGCGGAAAAUGAGAAGCUGGCUCAUCAAAUGGCCUCUUGUAAUUGCAGUGCAAAGGCGCCCGGUCACAGAGGGGGCUGUUAAAAAGCAGAACUGAAUCUUUGCAAACUUUCAUGGGUAUAAUUUCAGGAGAGAUCAAAAAAAAAUGACACUAACCUCGGGAUGUAAAGCUACUCAAAAUUCAAAGUUUAUAGUCCAUCUGUCUCUUUGCUUCAGGGAGCCUGUAUUAAAUUUAUUGCUAAAUAAAACAAAUAAGCCUAGCAAAAAUCGGCACCGAAAUCUGCAUACCCAGAUGAGAAUUAGCACACGUCUCCUGCUAUGAUGGCUGAUUCUCAAUUUGCAUCUUUAAGGAGUUGUGACCAGAGCUGCAACUCCUGUGUCCCUGUGGGUUGGGUGAGCCCCCAGCAUGGACCGAACCCAAAACACUGCGGUUUGAGCCCAAAUCCACCGGGCCGCAGCAACAUGGAGCGUGGAUGGGAACGGCGGCUGGGAGACCCCGGAGGAGCAGCAAGACUUUAUUACGGCUGGAAAUUAAACAUUUAAAAGCAGCAAGUUGGCAGUGGGGAUUUUCUAAUAAAAACCAUCUCGCCUGCCAUUUACCCAGCACUUCCAUCCGGAAGGACUCCAGUGUGCUUUCCCAACUCGGCAAGGUGUCAUUAACCCCUGGCCGGCUGAUGGAUGCUAUCCCUCCUCCUGGUGCCUAUGGAUUAUUGAUAAAGCCUUCGUUACAUCCCCCGUGCACUUAUCUGUUCAGGGCUGUUGGGUCUAUGGGCUGUUACGAGGAUGCACAGAAUGCAUCGCACCUUCUCGCUGUUUGUUUUCCUGCAGCAAACAGUGCUGCUGCGUUGCUGCCAUGAAUCUUCUGGGUUUGCUCUCGUUCCCAGGAAAGCUGUGCACUGGGAUAAAGAUAACAUCGUUACAGGGAGUGGUUAUCUGAGCAGUGGUUAUCUGGUGGUGCACUGGAAAUGGAGCGAAAUUAGAACAGAAAGAAGCAAAGUUGAAAAAAGGAUAAAAGCCGGAGGAUCCCUUCGUUCCAGCUUCAUGCCAUAAUCAGUUCUGCCCGUGUUCCUGUGAUGCUGGGGUUGCACUGGAUGACAAUGAUGGAUUACUCUCGAAACUCAAUGGGAAUUGGGCAAGGCAUGGGAAAGCACGUGCGCCCUAAAUGCCUGCAUCCUAAAUAUCCAGCAGCGACUCAAUGCUCAGAGCUGCAGGACAUACAGGGGGCAGCCACUGUGGUCCACCAGGCUCCAUGGAGCCAUCCUGGAUGGGUUUUGGGUUUUGCUGGCAGCUCGGCGUGCCCCAGCGCAGGUUGGCCAUUUGGGGAUGAACCGUGUCCCUCUGCCCAACACCACACCUCGCCCGGGCUCAUCAUGCACCUUCACACUGUUGUAACAUCUAUUGUUUAAUAAUUUACCCCGCUCCUCUCUUAUACAUAUUUCAGAGGAUUUCAGCAGCGAGCCAUGCACUCAUCUCCCAUCACACCCCGUCACGGUGUGCGUCAAGAAACCCAACACCAGCCCUAAUGCAAUCUUGGAAGGAGAACUGAAUUAUUUAUGGCGGACUGGUCAAACGACAGAGAGUAAAACACCAGGCCUGGUGUAAUUUCUUGUCUCCUGAAGCCAGUUAUGUAAAAAUGUAAAUAUUACAAGUUAUCUAUGUCACUGCUCUUGCCAAAUGUUUAAUAUUUUAGUAAAGUUGCUCUGAGUACUCUUGCCACUUCACAGAA